rnacentral:rRNA from 1 species
UACAGAGGUCUCAAGCGUUGUCCGGAAUUAUUGGGCGUAAAGAGCUCGUAGGCGGUGUGUCGCGUCGGCCGUGAAAACCUGCAGCUUAACUGUGGGCUUGCGGUCGAUACGGGCAUCACUGGAGUUCGGCAGGGGAGACUGGAAUUCCUGGUGUAGCGGUGAAAUGCGCAGAUAUCAGGAGGAACACCGGUGGCGAAGGCGGGUCUCUGGGCCGAUGACUGACGCUGAGGAGCGAAAGCGUGGGGAGCGAACAGG